rnacentral:rRNA from 1 species
AUUGAACGCUGGCGGCAGGCCUAACACAUGCAAGUCGAGCGGAUGAAGGGAGCUUGCUCCUGGAUUCAGCGGCGGACGGGUGAGUAAUGCCUAGGAAUCUGCCUGGUAGUGGGGGAUAACGUCCGGAAACGGGCGCUAAUACCGCAUACGUCCUGAGGGAGAAAGUGGGGGAUCUUCGGACCUCACGCUAUCAGAUGAGCCUAGGUGGGAUUAGCUAGUUGGUGGGGUAAAGGCCUACCAAGGCGACGAUCCGUAACUGGUCUGAGAGGAUGAUCAGUCACAAUGGAAAUGAGACACGGUCCAGACUCCUACGGGAGGCAGCGGUGGGGAAUAUUAAACGAUAGGCGAAAGCCUGAUCCAGCCGUGCCGCGUAUGUGAAGAAGGUCUUCCGAAUGUAAAGCACUUUGAGUUGGGAGGAAGUGCAGUAAGUUAAUACCUUGCUGUUUUGACAUUACCAUCAGAAUAAGCACCGGCUAACUUCGUG